rnacentral:lncRNA from 1 species
AACCCGGGAGGUGGAGCUGACUCUAUUCCCAAAUCAGGAUUUUCAUCAAGGUAAAAAUCUAGGCUGGGCUGGGUGGCUCCAGCCUGUAACCUCAGCACUCUGGGAGGCCGAGGUGGGCAGAUUGUUUGAGCUUGGGAGUUCAAGACCAUCCUGGACAACAGGGUGAAACAUCGUCUCUACCAAAAAUACAAAAAAUUAGACAACCGUGGUGGCGUGCACCAAUAGUCCCAGAUACUUGGGAGGCUGAGAUCAGAGAAUCACUCGAACCCGGGAGGUGGAGGUUGCAGUGAGCCGAGAUUAUGCCACUGUACUCUAGCCUGGGUGACAGAGUGAGACUCUGUUUCCAAAAAAAAAAAAAAAAAAAAAAAAGUAGGGCUUAAAUUGGGAGAGUGACAUGAUAUCAGAUCAUUACACUUGCGAAAAUCAUUACACUUGCGAAAAGAUGAGCGUCAUCAAUACUUAGUGUUGGCAGAGAUUUCAAACAAAGAAUUCUCUCAUAUGUGCUGGCGGGAAUGGAAGUUGUACAAACACCAAGGAAACCCCAGCACCAGCAAUGGACUCACCCACACCCCAUGACCCAGCAGCUCCACUCCUGGUGACUGUUCUAGAGAGGUGUGUGUGUGCAGGAACGUUCAUCACAAUGUUCACAGUGGUGCUGGAAGGACCCAAGUGUCCACCAGCAGGAGAAAUGAACAAAUGCACUGUGGCAUAUUCUUUUUUUUCUUUUUCUUUUUUUUGAGACAGAGUCUCACUCUGUCACCCAGGCUGGAGUGCGGUGGCGCAAUCUCGGCUCACUGCAACCUCUGCCUCCUGGAUUCAAGUGAUUCUCCCACCUCAGCCUACCGAGUAGCUGGGACUACAGGUGUGUGCCACCACACCCAGCUAUUUUUUUUUUUUUUUUUGAGACGGAGUCUCACUCUUGUAGCCCAGGCUAGAGUGCAAAUGGCAUGAUCUUUGCUCACUGCAAGCGCUGCCUCCUGGGUUCACGCCAUUCUCCUGCCUCAGCCUCCUGAGUAGCUGGGAAUACAGGUGCCCGCAACCAUGCCUGGCUAAUUUUUUGUAUUUUUAGCAGAGACAGGGUCUUAGCCAGGAUGGUCUUGAUUUCCUGAUCUCGUGAUCCACCCUCUUUGGCCUCCCAAAGUGCUGGGAUUACAG